UGAGUUGUGGCUCAGUGGUAGAGCACUUGUCUCGCAAAUGUGAUGCACUGGGUUCCAUCCUAGCACCAUAU
rnacentral:tRNA from 1 species